ACCUAAGUGGCGAAGCAAGUGGUUCAAGUGACUAUACCAUACUUCUUGAGAGCAAUGAUGACCUCAGCGAGGAUAACUCAAAUGCAGAGAAAGAAUCCCAAUUGCUGCUACCCUCCACUGUACCAACUACGUCAAACAAUACUACGCUGGCUUUACCACUAUUAUUCAAGUCAGCCUCAUGCUCUGCACCCAGGUCUGAUAUAGGUCCUUCAACUGCACCUCCAGAUGAUGUUGUUGCAGACCAUGACAGCCUGAAGAUGCAGGCAAGACAUUACAAAACCUUGAGCAACAUGUACAGGAAACCCAAUGCAAAACCCAACCAAAGUGACGUCGCUCAAAUUUUGGACCUGGAGUUUGAGGCCAGACGAGCUUUUAUUGACGCAGAUGUUACAAGGGAAGAAGACAGACCUAGAAAAAUAUUUGAAGCAUACCCGUGCUUCAAAGACAUACGAAAUGCGAUGGAUGAACUGCGUCGCAUCAUUGGUGGCUCCAACUGCAAAUACAUAGAUCAAAUGAAGGGUCGAUGGGCAGAGUUU